AUUGAACGCUGGCGGCAGGCCUAACACAUGCAAGUCGAGCGGAGCGACGGGCGGGUGGGUAAGGCCUAGGAGUCUGCCUGGUAGUUGGGGAUGAAGUACGGCAACGGACGCUAAUAAAUAAUGCGAUCAGAUGAGCCUAGGUCGGAUUAGCUAGUGGGUGGGGUAAUGGCCUACCAAGGCGACGAUCCGUAACUGGUCGGAGAGGAUGAUCAGUCACACUGGAACUGAGACACGGUCCAGACUCCUACGGGAGGCAGCAGUGGGGAAUAUUGGACAAUGGGCGAAAGCCUGAUGCAGCCAUGCCGCGUGUGUGAAGAAGGCCUUAGGGUUGUAAAGCACUUUAAGUCGGGAGGCGUUACCAACAGAAUAAGCACCGGCUAACUCCGUGCCAGCAGCCGCGGUAAUAC
rnacentral:rRNA from 1 species